CGCACGAAAUAGUCGCGCGAAAUGUAAUCAGAUUUAAUUGGUUCGUGCGUCUAACGACACGAAACCGAGAUCACGACGAACGAUCAUGGAAUCGUUGACACGUGGGGUCAGUGAGUAGACUGCGAGACUCGAACUGCACGUGAAUUGCCAGUUCACGCGAAACUCGAACACAUGGUGCAUUUCUGGAUCAAAGUUCCGCUACGUAACUGUAUCCGUAACCUUUCUUUCCUCGCUGCGAAGAUAAGAUUGCACACGUAUGCGGAUUGAACGAGUUAUUAGACAUCACGUAAAUAGGGUGCCCUCUCCCCUCUACGAUUCCGUUUGGUUAAGGGCGAAAUGUCAGUGCGGCUGGCGAUUCUCGAGGUUCUCGGCCGUUCGUAAACACGACUCGUGGCAUCUACAGACUGUAGACUACAGUUAACUGGUUGACUCUUAUUUCAGGCACCGAUGUUGCGCACGGCUUGCUCGUUUCGUACUGGCUGUUUCAAGAAAGACCGUUAUCGCUCGACGCGUAGUCUCGGGAACCCAUAGGAAAUACGACGAGGAAUCGCUACAGUUUGUAAUCGUCGUUGCCGGUGAUGCUCUCGUAAGGGGAGCUCACAAAGAAGCAAUUGCCCUUUGCUACAGAUUCGUUUUAUGACCAUUUACAUGGCCCUCACGACCAUGAUACGCGUAUCUUCGGGACGGCUUCCCCGAACUGGUUUUCCCGCGUGAAAGAAAGUGACUGGACGAGUAGAGACUAGAGCGGCCAUUGACGCCAUAGUGGCAUCACCUGUGGGUGUUACAACGAGCCUCUUAAACCGAGUAAUUACACUUUCUGUUCGAAUCUUAUUAGGAAGGAUUGGUUAUAUAACGAUUGAUUUCUUGCUUUAGCGUUACAUCUUUUCUCGCUUUCGCAAGAAUAUUCAUCAUCGAGAGUAGGUCCACUGUACGAGAAUAUGCGCAGGUCGUUACCAAGAAUUCGUCGACCAGGAAGUGCCGUUCCAUCGCAGUAAUCUCAGAAAAGACUAUAAAACGACUAAUCUUUUUCCACCUGUGUGCGUAAAUCUCUCUCGCGCCAAACUGUUUUUCCUGCGGUUCUCCAGUGAUAAACACGGCAUCUGGGCCCGCUGAAAGUCUUACGAUUAGAAAAUCGUCCGGUGAGUCAGCAGCGACCAUUAGGAAUGAAAAUUCACCGGGAACGUAAUCGCGCAGUCCAAUUAUCGGACGGAAUGACCGCGCAUCGCUUACGCAGUACCGCUGUGGUUCACGGGCUCCAUCUUUCCGAAGGAAUCGGUGGAAAGUAAGCGCGUUAUUUUAGGAGAGAGCUACUCAGCUGCUCAACGAACCCGUGUAGCCGAUGGCUGUAUAAUUUCACCGAAGCUCGAGUGGAGAUGCUUGAUCUUCGGUCGUCUCGGUUCUGACAUAGGUGUAUGCAAAUAUAUACAUACGCUCCUGGUCAAAAGUAUUUCCCAACGCACAGGAAAAAAAUUUCCAAGAUUUUGUACGAUAACACGAGAAUAUAGUAUCACUUAUGUAUGUACUAUAUAUGUACAGUUUCACGAAGUUACUCGUUCACUAUGAACAAGGACUUACAAAACGUGAUUCAUCAUGGCUGGCUUCCUUUUCAAUUAUUCAACGAAAAAAAUUGCGAUAUAUGUUUAUUAUCUAUUUUAAUCGCACGUAGUAAGAAUGUUCGCGAGCAAGGAGGAAAAUAAUGCGACACGAACAACGGAAGAUAUCGUGAUUCAUUUACUCUGUUUAUUUCAUCUUAUGUACACAGUCGUAGAUAAAUACAGAGCUGACACCUUUCCGGAUUUCGUUACAAAAACUCCGGCUUUAAUGCCGAUAUUCAAGGUUGCUAGAUUUAACGAAAAUAUUUGUUGCAGUUCACCGUAGGGUGUGCACAUAAUCCCUUCUUUCGAGAUUAGGAAGUUUAGUUAGGAAAAGGGAACCUAACAAUGGAACGUUAAUCUUUUUCUUAAACAGAUAACAACAUUUCAUUUUUAAAAGCAUAAUUAUGUAUUAUUAUUUAAGGAAUCGAAUAACGAGUGUUCCUGGACAAGGUUUUUACAAGACUUUUAUCGUCGACUAGUUAACUAUCAGUUUUGGUUCAUAAUAGUGAUUCACAUGUUGCAGAACAAUAUGUCACGAGAUAUCAGUAUGCUGCGGUAUGAAACAAUAGGACAAUGAAAGACCACUAUUAUUCGUCUCGCCUUAAUGGCUUUCACAUGAAAGGAAGUUCGGUUUAAAACACAAUUUCGUCUAAAUAAAUUACGCAAUCCUGUCAGCGAAUUUCACCAGCUUUUCGCCGUUGCUAUCCGCCCUCUGUCCCUUAACCGUUUGCACUCGAGGUCUUUUUUUCUGGUAUCUACCAGCAACUCGAGAUGUUUCUUAGCAUUCUAUUGCCAUGAAUUCUAAGCUUAAUCAGGCAACCUUUACCUUGUCGACAACCAUUUUAUCGACACUUCGAGCUCCAAAGAAAUUAAGCCUAAAGAAACAUUUGUAGAUAAUUAAAUCUAAAGAAACAAUUGUAGAUUUGCUGCUUGAAACCUAAUGGCGACUGAGAGUCAUCUCUCGAGUGCAAAGGGUUAAUCCUGCAAUCAACGUAGCAACACGGAAAGGUGGCGCAGCCAUAAUUGAACGAGAUCUAACAAGCUCAAGGACUAUGUACAACCGCACACACGGAGAGCCGUGAACACGUUUUCACGGCUUUGGUCCUUUCUCUGGCACAUUAACGACGCUUGGCGUCGAGUGAAAACGGUUAUCACCUUUCUAUACACCUCGUAAAUCCAACGAGCGCCGAAAACGUUUCGCCAGGUGGCCGUUGGCCCAACUACCAAUUUCUUUUAACACAUCGCGUGACUUUUCUGUCCACGGUUUCUCCUUUUUACAGAGGCGAUUGCAUCGCGCCUGUUUCGGCCGAUUUGGAAAUUUUUAUCGGGCAACGUUUCCUUAGAAGUAUGUCGAAUUGCCAAAGACCCAGAAGCGUAGCAGCGGCUUUAUGCAACGGUGACCAGACGCUGCUUCCUAGAAGAAGUAUGACUGGGAUCAAUUUCUUAUGAUCCUCUUAUAAGGACAUCCCGAUAUCGUUUACAUGGCGUGACACUCAAAGUAUGGAAGGUACCUCGCAAACGUCCACCGAUAUCUUCCUGAUCCAUCGG